CGCGUUGAAGGCGGGCCUUGCGCCCUCUGCCGGCGCGGUCCGCGCCGGACCCGGUGGUGCUGCGGCGGCGGGCGCCGAGGUGGCGGGGCCCGGCACGCAGCACAAGCACGUCGCCUUUUUGACACCGGUGGCGACGACCCAGACGCCGGCUUGGGACGUGCUCCGACUUCUAAAAGCCAACGUGGACCCGACAGACAAGGACAUCCGGGACGUUACCUUGCGUCACACAAGGAAUAAACGGGGAAGUAGUCGGCCGGGGCGGUACACCCCAGACACCGCCCAAGCCAGACAGGAGGCCAUGGACCUCCGGGCCGUUGCGGGUAUAUCGGGGCCCGGCCGCUCGUACGCCGCGGCGGCGGCCGAUCGAGUCGACUGCCCGCUAACGUCGGCGGGGACACCGGGGACCAGGCAAGCUUCGGGGAUUCCAGAUGUCCAUGGGACUACGACAAGCACGGAGACGACACGACAAUGAAUGCAGGGACACGUGGCCUUCCUGACACCGGUAUAUGCCUGAGUACAUGCAGCAAGUCGCUGCCAGCGGCCGGUCCGCUGUGAAUGUUUGCGGCACUGUGACCGCCGAAGGCCUGGCACUCCUGGUUCGCCUUGAGAGCCGCUUCAAUGGAGAGGCCUACUGCUGAAUCCUGGACGAUGUGCUCUUCCCGUACCUACUAGGAGGACCAUUUCCGGACGGCGACUUCGUUCUGCAGCAUGAUAACUCCCCAAUACACAAAUCGAAAAGAGUUGCUGCAUUUCUUGAGCUCCGCGAUAUCGCAGUGCUAGAAUGGCCUGCUCAGUCUCCUGACCUAAAUGUUAUUGAGAACGUUUGGGGCAUCAUGAAGAGUGCUAUGACCGGCCGACAGCUGCACGGCCUCUAAGCGGACGCACUAUGAAUUGUUGUUCAAGAGGAGUGGGAGCGGCUGAGGUCCAAUGCGAGCCUUUGUAGAUCCCUAUACAAGUCCCUCCAAAACAGUAUGAAAGCCGUCAUAAACGCAGGAGGCGAACCGACCUGCUACUGACCUUGGUCAUGGAACUCGUUAAAGAGCAGCACAUACGAGAAAAUAAAACUCCACGCCUGAGCAAACUCUCAACGGACUGGGUGGAUAAUGAAUUUUAUUUCCUACAA